AUUGAACGCUGGCGGCAGGCCUAACACAUGCAAGUCGAACGAGUGGCGGACGGGUGAGUAAUGUCUGGGAAACUGCCUGAUGGAGGGGGAUAACUACUGGAAACGGUAGCUAAUACCGCAUACCAUCAGAUGUGCCCAGAUGUGAUUAGCUAGUUGGUGGGGUAACGGCACACCAAGGCGACGAUCCGUAGCUGGUCUGAGAGGAUGACGAGUCACACUGGAAUGGAGCUACGGUCCAGACUCGUACGGGAGGCAGCAGUGGGGAAUAUUGCAUAAUGGGCGGAAGGCUUAUGCAGCCAUGCCGCGUGGAGGAAGAAGGCCUUCGGGUUGUAAAGGACUUUCAGCGGGGAGGCGUUACCCGAAGAAGAAGGACCGGCUAACUCCGUGCCAGCAGCCGCGGUAAUAC
rnacentral:rRNA from 1 species